rnacentral:rRNA from 1 species
GACGAACGCUGGCGGCGUGCUUAACACAUGCAAGUGAAGCGAAGUGGCGAAUGGGUGAGUAAUGCCUACGAAUCUGCCUGGUAGUGGGGGAUAACGUCCGGAAACGGGAGCUAAUACCGCAUACUAUCAGAUCAGCCUAGGUCGUAUUGGCUAGUUGUUGGGGUAAAGGCAUACCAAGGCACGGAUCCGUAACUAGUCUGAGAGGAUGAUCAGCCACACUGGAACUGAGACACGGUCCAGACUCCGCCGGGAGGAAGCAGUGGGGAUGAUUGGCAAAUGGGCGAAAGCCGGAUCCAGCCACGCCGCGUGGGGGAAGAAGGUUUUGGGAUUGUAAAGCACUUUAAGUUGGGAGGCGUUACCAACAGAGUAAGCACCGGCUAACUUCGUGCCAGCCGCCGCGGUAAUAC